GGGGGUGUCCUGGUUUCGACAGGGAUAAAGGGGAUUGCUGAUGCAUGCCGAGGAGAUUACCUACUCGUUAAAAAGGUGAUACAAACCUAAACGCAAACGAUAACUUUGCACUAGCAGCUUAGUUCUGCUACGGUCCUGCCAAGCUUUGCUGUUAAGCUGGCAGCAGACCGCCAUAAUUAACAGCUAUAAACGACAGAAGUCUGUGAUGUCGUUCGAAAAACUACAGGCUGGUCGCUUAGCAUAGUUUGAUUGUUUUCUUGCUUUGCGAUAAGAUCAAAAACAACUAAGCAUGUAGAUUCGGCUUUUGACUUAUCUUUGGACGCGGGUUCGAUUCCCGCCACCUCCACCA
rnacentral:tmRNA from 1 species